AUUUGGCAGAAGCGGAUAAGAAUCUUGUCAAAAUCAAGAUACAGUCAUUCUAUGUCUUAGUACAAGCUGCGGGAGGCACCUACAUGG